GUAACAGUCAGAAAUAGGCUGCUAAUACCGCAUAAGCGCACAGGGUCGCAUGACCUAGUGUGAAAAACUCCGGUGGUAUAAGAUGGACCCGCGUUGGAUUAGCCAGUUGGCAGGGUAACGGCCUACCAAAGCGACGAUCCAUAGCCGGCCUGAGAGGGUGAACGGCCACAUUGGGACUGAGACACGGCCCAGACUCCUACGGGAGGCAGCAUG
rnacentral:rRNA from 1 species